rnacentral:siRNA from 1 species
ACAGCUAUUUUAUCGUGGUGCGCC